rnacentral:rRNA from 1 species
AGGCAGCAGUGGGGAAUAUUGGACAAUGGGCGCAAGCCUGAUCCAGCCAUGCCGCGUGAGUGAUGAAGGCCUUAGGGUUGUAAAGCUCUUUUGUCCGGGAAGAUAAUGACGGUACCUGGAGAAUAAGCCCCGGCUAACUUGGUGCCAGCAGCCGCGGUAAU